CAGCAGCCGCGGGAAUACGUAGGGUGCGAACGUUAAUCGGAAUUACUGGGCGUAAAGCGUGCGCAGGCGGUUGUGUAAGACAGGUGUGAAAUCCCCAGGCUUAACCUGGGAACUGCGCUUGUGACUGCACAGCUAGAGUAUGGCAGAGGGGGGUGGAACUCCACGUGUAGCAGUGAAAUGCGUAGAGAUGUGGAGGAACACCGAUGGCGAAGGCAGCCCCCUGGGCCAAUACUGACGCUCAUGCACGAAAGCGUGGGGAGCAAACAGGAUUAGAUACCCGCGUAGUCCCUGUCUCUUAUAC
rnacentral:rRNA from 1 species